rnacentral:rRNA from 1 species
AAUCGAUAAUCCUCGAUAUACCUCACCAUUUUUUGCUUUUUCAGCCUGUAUACCUCCGUCGCAAACCUACCAUUUGAGUGCUCUAAAGUAAGUUCAACUGGGCCCCAACACGCCAAUACGUCAGGUCAAGGUGCAGCCCAUAAAAUGGAAAGCAAUGGGCUACAAUUUCUAAAAUAGAACAAACAAAAAACUACAUGAAACAUAGUACAUGAAGGCGGAUUUAGUAGUAAAAGAAGAACAGUAAGCUUCUUUUAACAAGGCCCUGGGACGUGUACAAACCGCCCGUCACCCUCUUCAAUAAUACCCAUUCAGCUAUAUAACACCCCCUAACAUCUAAUAAGAGGCAAGUCGUAACAUGGUAAGUGUACUGGAAAGUGCACUUGGAAAACAGAGUAUAGCUUAACCAAAGCAUUUCGCUUACACCGAAAAAACAUCCGUUUGACCAAGAUUACUUUGAGCCCUACGUCUAGCC